CUAGAAAUGAUCAAAACAAAGAAUUAUCUGAAUAAUCUACCCUAACACCUGGUCAUUCUACUCUACUGUAUGGAAAGAAUUGUCUAUUCAAUGAAUCAAUUACUUCCCAGCUUAAUUUAAUGCACAGGAAACUUUUUCUCUUCCUUUCUAAAUGAUUUUGUCUCUGAAUUUACUCUUGACUAAGAGAAGGACUGCAAAUACCAGAGGCAGGCCACAUUCUAAAUUCCAACGAAGUUGGUAUCAGCAAUGCUUUUGCAGCAGCAACUACUACCACACCAACUUGGGCAGGAGGAGGAAUGUCCACGACACUGGUAAAACUAGGAAAACUCAAGACUGAGACAAACUCAGACAAACUGUCAGUGCUAACAACAGGAAGACUUCAGCGAUGGUUUUAUGACAAUAAUGGAAACUCUACAUUUUCCUUUUGCCCUGGCCUUGCUUACUGCACUGAUGAAGUCAGAGGAGAGACUUCCAGACUUUGAGGAGGAUGGUUCUGACCUAGAGGUGAAAAUAAGGGCAUGGGUUCCUUUCAGUGAGCUGAGAAUUCAGAAAAUUUUGAAGAGAUGCACAUAUACCCAGGGGUGACAAAAGAGCAACCUUGCUUGCAGAGU